UCAAACCUGAGAGUUUGAUCCUGGCUCAGAACGAACGCUGGCGGCAGGCUUAACACAUGCAAGUCGAACGC
rnacentral:rRNA from 1 species